GUGCCCUUUUAAGGUUGUCUCGGUACUUUAAGAGGCUAACACAGAAGGGUAAAGGGACUUCAUCAAACCCAGAGAAACUUCAGUGGUUAAAGAGUAAAUCGAUAUGAAGUUCCAGAG